rnacentral:rRNA from 1 species
UACGGGGGGAGCAAGCGUUGUUCGGAUUUACUGGGCGUAAAGGGCGCGUAGGCGGCGCGGUAAGUCACUUGUGAAAUCUCUGAGCUUAACUCAGAACGGCCAAGUGAUACUGCAGUGCUAGAGUGUGGAAGGGGCAAUCGGAAUUCUUGGUGUAGCGGUGAAAUGCGUAGAUAUCAAGAGGAACACCUGAGGUGAAGACGGGUUGCUGGGCCAACACUGACGCUGAGGCGCGAAAGCCAGGGGAGCAAACGGG